CCUACGGGAGGCAGCAGUGGGGGAUAUUGCACAAUGGGGGAAACCCUGAUGCAGCGACGCCGCGUGUGGGAAGACGGUCCUCUGGAUUGUAAACCACUGUCCCCAGGGACGAAGAUGACGGUACCUGGGGAGGAAGCUCCUACUAACUACGUGCCAGCAGCCGCGGUAAUACGUAGGGAGCGAGCGUUUUCCGGAUUUACUGGGUUUAAAGGGAGCGUAGGCGGGACUGCAAGUUGGGUGUCAAAUCUACCGGCGCAACCGGUAGCCGCACUCAAAACUGCAGUUCUUGAGUGAAGGAGAGGCAGGCGGAAUGCCUGGUGUAGCGGUGAAAUGCGUAGAUAUUAGGAGGAACACCAGUGGCGAAGGCGGCCUGCUGGGCUUUUACUGACGCUGAGGCUCGAAAGUGUGGGGAGCGAACAGGAUUAGAUACCCGUGUAGUC
rnacentral:rRNA from 1 species